rnacentral:rRNA from 1 species
GGUUCCUGUCCAACGUUAAUCGGGGCAGGGUGAGUCGACCCCUAAGGCGAGGCCGAAAGGCGUAGUCGAUGGGAAACAGGUUAAUAUUCCUGUACUUGGUGUUACUGCGAAGGGGGGACGGAGAAGGCUAUGUCAGCCGGGCGACGGUUGUCCCGGUUUAAGCAUGUAGGCGGAGGUUCCAGGUAAAUCCGGUACCUUAUUAACGCUGAGGUGUGAUGACGAGGCACUACGGUGCUGAAGUGAUAAAUGCCCUGCUUCCAGGAAAAGCCUCUAAGCAUCAGGUAACACGAAAUCGUACCCCAAACCGACACAGGUGGUCAGGUAGAGAAUACCAAGGCGCUUGAGAGAACUCGGGUGAAGGAACUAGGCAAAAUGGUGCCGUAACUUCGGGAGAAGGCACGCUGAUAUGUAGGUGAAGUCCCUGCGGACGGAGCUGAAAUCAGUCGAAGAUACCAGCUGGCUGCAACUGUUUAUUAAAAACACAGCACUGUGCAAACACGAAAGUGGACGUAUACGGUGUGACGCCUGCCCGGUGCCGGAAGGUUAAUUGAUGGGGUUAGCGGCAACGCGAAGCUCUUGAUCGAAGCCCCGGUAAACGGCGGCCGUAACUAUAACGGUCCUAAGGUAGCGAAAUUCCUUGUCGGGUAAGUUCCGACCUGCACGAAUGGCGUAAUGAUGGCCAGGCUGUCUCCACCCGAGACUCAGUGAAAUUGAACUCGCUGUGAAGAUGCAGUGUACCCGCGGCAAGACGGAAAGACCCCGUGAACCUUUACUAUAGCUUGACACUGAACACUGGUCCUUGAUGUGUAGGAUAGGUGGGAGGCUUUGAAGCGUGGACGCCAGUCUGCGUGGAGCCAACCUUGAAAUACCACCCUUUAAUGGCUGGUGUUCUAACGUAGACCCGUAAUCCGGGUUGCGGACAGUGUCUGGUGGGUAGUUUGACUGGGGCGGUCUCCUCCCAAAGAGUAACGGAGGAGCACGAAGGUUGGCUAAUCCUGGUCGGACAUCAGGAGGUUAGUGCAAUGGCAUAAGCCAGCUUGACUGCGAGCGUGACGGCGCGAGCAGGUGCGAAAGCAGGUCAUAGUGAUCCGGUGGUUCUGAAUGGAAGGGCCAUCGCUCAACGGAUAAAAGGUACUCCGGGGAUAACAGGCUGAUACCGCCCAAGAGUUCAUAUCGACGGCGGUGUUUGGCACCUCGAUGUCGGCUCAUCACAUCCUGGGGCUGAAGUAGGUCCCAAGGGUAUGGCUGUUCGCCAUUUAAAGUGGUACGCGAGCUGGGUUUAGAACGUCGUGAGACAGUUCGGUCCCUAUCUGCCGUGGGCGCUGGAGAAUUGAGGGGGGCUGCUCCUAGUACGAGAGGACCGGAGUGGACGCAUCACUGGUGUUCGGGUUGUCAUGCCAAUGGCACU